rnacentral:rRNA from 1 species
GGGUCAGUAGGUUGGUCGUGCCACCGGUACGUACUGGUCUCACUGAUUCCUCCUUCCUGAAGAACCGUAAUGCCAUUAAUUUGGUGUUGCGGGGAAACAGGACCGUUACUUUGAAAAAAUUAGAGUGUUUAAAGCAAGCUAACGCUUGAAUACAUUAGCAUGGAAUAAUGAAAUAGGACGAUCGAUCCUAUUUUGUUGGUUUCUAGGAUUGACGUA